rnacentral:lncRNA from 13 species
UCUCCCAUCCUGACUACUCAUAGUUAUAACUAGAUGUGUUUUAGAUGAUGCCAGAUCUCCCAUCCUGACUACUCAUAGUUAUAACUAGAUGUGUUUUAGAUGAUGCCAGAUCUCCCAUCCUGACUUCUCAUAGUUAUUACUAGAUGUGUUAUUAGAUGAUGCCAGAUCUCCCAUCCUGACUCCUCGUAGUUAUUACUAGAUGAUGCCAGAUCUCCCAUCCUGACUACUCGUAGUUAUUACUAGAUGAUAACAGAUCUCCCAUCCUGACUACUCAUAGUUAUAACUAGAUGUGUUUUAGAUGAUGCCAGAUCUCCCAUCCUGACUUCUCAUAGUUAUUACUAGAUGUGUUAUUAGAUGAUGUCAUGUGUUCAGAUGUGUGUUUGUCACUCUUCCCUCAGUGAGGGUCCUGCAGGUUUGGAGAGGAAGUUGACCAAGCUGGAAGCCAUGGUUAGGAUGCUGCAGGAUGACCUGAAGAAGAGAAGUUACUGAGGACCAGUGGGUUUGAAACGGCCGUUUUACUCCAAAGCAGAGUGAUGGGACGUCUUCAUCAUUUUGGGUGUACGGCGCGAUGAAGACGAGUACGAUGAAGACGAGAGAGGAUUCUUCUCUUUCCCCCCCCACCAUCUCAAGGAAUGUGAUUCACUUUUAAAUCGGGAAGCAUUUUUUUUNNNNNNNNNNCCCCCUCAGAAACAUCCGGCAUCCUCAAUCUCAGAAUCCAUUGUGUAGGUGCUUGUGACACUUUGAAACUUGGUUCCAGGUUGGUUAAAUAACCAAGUCAUCAACAGCGGAGAGAGAUGCCGUGGUCAGACGACAUGGCUGAAAUCAGGACUAUAUUGCUAACAGAACGGUGUUUUAAAAGCAAUAAGCACGGAGCAUAACCAGACCUUCCUGUUCCGUUUACAAGAGAAGUUACUGAGGACCAGUGGGUUUGAAACGGCCGUUUUACUCCAAAGCAGAGUGAUGGGACGUCUUCAUCAUUUUGGGUGUACGGCGCGAUGAAGACGAGUACGAUGAAGACGAGAGAGGAUUCUUCUCUUUCCCCCCCCACCAUCUCAAGGAAUGUGAUUCACUUUUAAAUCGGGAAGCAUUUUUUUUUGGGGGGGGGGGGGGGGAUUUUAUUUAUUUCUUUGUAUUAUAACAACAAAAUCAAUAAAUAAGUAGUUCUUAUUGCGUACAGUACAACUGAAGUCGUCAGUGUUUAGUUUUCUCUUAGAAAAUGUCAUUAUUUUAUUAUCUAAAUGGCUUUGAUUCUUUCCAUUCUUGCUUUUAAAGCCUGACAUUAUGGUUUCUACUAGCUCUGGUCCAGGGCAUUAGUCCGUGUUCCUCCACUCCUGUUAGUAGAGAAACGUGCGCUUACACCCUGGACCAGAGCUAGCUUCCUAUAUUAUUAAUAUCUCGUUUCGUGGUGCCAGAGCCUGCUGUUGUGUUGCUUACAGUGCCCUCCAGUGGUGAAAAGUGGAAGUGU